AGUGAACGCUGGCGGUAGGCCUAACACAUGCAAGUCGAACGGCAGCACAGAGGAGCUUGCUCCUUGGGUGGCGAGUGGCGGACGGGUGAGGAAUACAUCGGAAUCUACUCUGUCGUGGGGGAUAACGUAGGGAAACUUACGCUAAUACCGCAUACGACCUAUGGGUGAAAGCAGGGGACCUUCGGGCCUUGCGCGAUUGAAUGAGCCGAUGUCGGAUUAGCUAGUUGGCGGGGUAAAGGCCCACCAAGGCGACGAUCCGUAGCUGGUCUGAGAGGAUGAUCAGCCACACUGGAACUGAGACACGGUCCAGACUCCUACGGGAGGCAGCAGUGGGGAAUAUUGGACAAUGGGCGCAAGCCUGAUCCAGCCAUACCGCGUGGGUGAAGAAGGCCUUCGGGUUGUAAAGCCCUUUUGUUGGGAAAGAAAUCCAGCUGGCUAAUACCCGGUUGGGAUGACGGUACCCAAAGAAUAAGCUCCGGCUAACUUCGUGCCAGCAGCCGCCGUAA
rnacentral:rRNA from 1 species